ensembl:lncRNA novel transcript, antisense to C7orf33 and CNTNAP2
GCCAGCUGUCCUGCGUCACUCCUUCAGUUCUCAGCUUAGAUUUCCUGUCCUUGGGAAGCUGUCAUCAUCCUUCUAUCUUUACACCCCAUGAUUUACCCCUUGCAGUGUACUUAUUACACUGUAUUGGAAUCGCUUCUUUUCUCUUUCUCUGUGAAUUUCUUGAGAGCACAGACUACAUUCUGCUUAACUUUUUAUCCCCAGCUUUCAGCACAGUGCCUGGCUGCUUUGGCGUCUCCAAGUACCUGACCUCAGCUCAACCUGUCUUGGGUUUUCUUCUCCUCCCUGACAUUGACAACCCAGCCCUCCUAGGCACAGAGAGAUGGAGCUGAGUGUGGUUUUCCUGAAAUAAAGCUUGCAUUAUGAGAGGGAAUAAACAGGUACAUAGUGUUUUAGACGGCAGCAUUUUAACUUCAUGUAGGCAUUGUUUUCAUGACAAUUUUCUUUUGUUUCUCCUUUUGUUAUGAAAUAUGCAUUUCGCCAAUAUUAAAUGGAAUAUUCCAGAAGAAAAAAAUAAAAAAGCCUAAUUAUUUGGUAUUGUAUGCUACAAAAGAGAAAUGCCAUAAUUCCCAGUGGGGGCUGUGGAUACUGGACCCCCAUAACCAGGUGCCAGAGAUCACGUGGUGUUCAAAGUCCAAAUUAUAAGCAUAGUGCCGAGGACUCUGAGGAUGACUUCUGCACAUCUUCCGAAAAGGGAUGGAACAGCAGAAUGAGUGCCAUCAUGGCUUGGAUGGUUGGAGGUGCUUUGGGCAUGAAGACCCUCUAACUGUGAAGUUAGAGGCUUCCAAUGUUAGCUCUGUUUUAAGUAUAUGCACAAAGUCACAGUCUCAUAGCUGAGCUAUUAAAAAUAAAAUCAACACCAA